GGCACUUUGGCGGAGUGGUUAACGGUAAGCUCCCUCAUUCGCCAAAAUCACCAUAUCAUGGCUAACGAUAAUUCAGCGCGGGCCUGCUAAGCCCGUCUCUUCGGAGGCGAGAGUUCGAAUCUCUCAGGUGUCG